CUUAAUUAAUGUUCAUGUUGCGGUGCGGAUGCUUGCAAUGUGGGUUGCUGAAUUGUAAAAUAUCGAACUUUUGGAAAAAUACGUGCCCAUAUAAAAUGAACUACUUUUUGUACUAUGAAAGAACAAUUGUCUUGAGAACAUCGCGAAGUGUGUAUUGAAGUAUCGUCGCCUUUCUGAUAACUCGAAAAGUGUCCUUUAUUUUUGGCAUAUUCUUGCUUAUUUAAUGUCCCCGCAUUUAUUGAAACAACUAUUGAUAGUGUUGAUAACUGAUAGAGACAGUGGUUUAGAAUUAUUUUACUUCGAUUAAAGUGUUAAGAAGAAUUAACAAGCAGUGUAUGGAAAUCACCUUGUCUACUUUGAGGGAUCCCUCCAUGCCAACGAAUUCAAGGAAUCCCCAAACAUCAUUGGCUUUCGACAAGAUGAUGGAAUAUCUUCACGGCACUCAUAGAAUUUGGAGAUGGACGAAUAAUAUUUGGACAAUGAAUAAAUAAGGAAUUCUGGGGGUGUACGGCGGAUUUUCUGAAAAGUCCAUUGGUAGAUUCCAGAAACAGUUAGCCUUUACAUUGCAUAAGGUAUUGAAGACCAGCUGAUGAAUGUUUAAAUUUAACACCUCUUUCAAAGGUUCUAUUUGUACUUUGGGUAAUUUCAUCAAGGCUUCAUUUGCAGCUAUUGCAAAAACUUACGCUUACUUAACCUCUGAUUUGUGGCCUGAAAUUGUUCCGACUAAAACACCUUAUCAGGAGUUCUCACACUUUUUAUCUACUGUAAAGCCUAAAAUUCCAGAAUAAUUUUUUUUAUGAUAAGAACAGAAGAUGUGACGAACGCACUGCUCUUCACUAAUAUACUUCAUGGCAUGAACUAAUAUUGGACUCUACCAUAUAAUUUAAUCGAAAAUGGGGAAUAUUUAAUUGAGCCCCAAGUUUUCAUCCACAAAAGUUUGAAUGCUCUAGUUAUGAGCUGCUUGAAGAAUCCUUUUGCUGUCUUACUAGGAAAGUUGCCUCCAUGGAUCAAAUAUGUGAUAGAUAAUUGUCCAUUCAUUUUCUCCUUGAGAACAAGGAUAUUUACAUUCAGAGUCCUAAAUCUGAAGAGAACCAGAGCUUCUUUUAACGUGAUGGACAGAAAUAUGGAAUAUGUCCCAUAUUUUGAUCAAUCCAUGGUAGUCUUUAACACACUUCUGUCUUUUAAAAUUCGAAAGAAAAACAUUCUCACCGAAUUGAUUAAGAGGAACAAUAUUUGGAUCUCUUGUACAGGCAAAACUCCAGCAGAUAAUGAAUAUUUAGGACCUAUCAAAUAUUAUCCUUCAUAUCAAGGAUUUCCAGGAUACUAUUACCCAUAUAUGAACUCGGAAGAUUACUUGAGUCCUUUGGUAACUAUUAAAUUCAAAAGGCCAAAAUCUGGUUUAGUCAUAAAUAUUGAAUGCAGAGCAUGGGCCAAAAACAUAAAAUAUGACAGACAUGACAGAAGUGGAUCUGUACAUUUCGAAUUACUCAUUUACUAAUAUCGGAGUGAUGUUUAAAACUGCUGGAAAGAACUAUAUCAAGCAAUAUUAUAAAUGAAUUUAUAGUUUAUUUGUUGUUAUUUUUUUAAUAAUGUAUUCGUCUGGUAUUACAGAAUCUAAUGGCAGCUAUUUUUGUCCAGUAGUAAAUUCCGAGCCAAAAUGUAGCAACUAACAGUAAGAUGAGAUACUUAUUAGGUUAGUUUUUUUGUUGUCAAUUCAGUUUUGAAUAUUAUAUAUUACCAGACGAUGAUGUACAAUGUAUAUUUUGAUAAAA